rnacentral:rRNA from 1 species
CAUUAAAGAGUUCUAUAACUCCCAAACCCAUGUGAACAUACCUAACGUUGCCUCGGCAGGUCGCACCUACCUUGUAGCACCCUACCCUGUAGGGCCUACCCGGGAGGUGCGGGUAAGCCUGCCGGCGGCCCACCAAACUCUGUUUGAUAUUGAAUUCUGAACCUAUAACUAAAUAAGUUAAAACUUUCAACAACGGAUCUCUUGGUUCUGGCAUCGAUGAAGAACGCAGCGAAAUGCGAUAAGUAAUGUGAAUUGCAGAAUUCAGUGAAUCAUCGAAUCUUUGAACGCAUAUUGCGCCCAUUAGUAUUCUAGUGGGCAGGACCGUUCGAGCGUCAUUUCAACCCUUAAGCCUUCGUUGCUUAGUGUUGGGAGCCUACGGCAACGUAGCUCCUCAAAGUUAGUGGCGGAGUUGGUUCACACUCUAGACGUAGUAAUUUUUUAUCUCGCCUAUUAGUUGGACUAAUCCCCUGCCGUAAAACCCCCAAUUUAUCAAGGUUGACCUCGAAUCGGUUCAGACAAACUCGCUAAAUUGAAGCAUCUUAGUCAGCGAAGGAAAAGAAACCAACAGGGAUUGCCCUAGUAACGGCGA